GAAGGGGCAUAGGCACUCUCAUUUUCUUUCUACUAAGCUUUUUGAAUGACUACAUGAUACAAAAAAAGAAGUAGAAUAUAACAUUGCUCAUUAUAAACUGGCUAUAUACAUAUUUAUUUCCAUUAUU
rnacentral:ribozyme from 1 species